rnacentral:rRNA from 1 species
GAUGAACGCUGGCGGCGUGCCUAAUACAUGCAAGUCGAGCGAACAGACGAGGAGCUUGCUCCUUUGACGUUAGCGGCGGACGGGUGAGUAACACGUGGGUAACCUAACUAUAAGACUGGGAUAACUUCGGGAAACCGGAGCUAAUACCGGAUAAUAUUUCGAACCGCAUGGUUCGAUAGUGAAAGAUGGCUUUGCUAUCACUUAUAGAUGGACCUGCGCCGUAUUAGCUAGUUGGUAAGGUAACGGCUUACCAAGGCAACGAUACGUAGCCGACCUGAGAGGGUGAUCGGCCACACUGGAACUGAGACACGGUCCAGACUCCGACGGGAGGCAGCAGUAGGGAAUCUUCCGCAAUGGGGGAAAGCCGGACGGAGCAACGCCGCGUGAGUGAUGAAGGUCUUCGGAUCGUAAAACGCUGUUAUUAGGGAAGAAGAAACGUGUAAGUAACUGUGCACAUCUUGACGGUACCUAAUCAGAAAGCCACGGCUAACUACGUG